rnacentral:tRNA from 1 species
GCUUAAGUAGUUUAAUAAAAAACGUUGACUUGUGGUGUCAUUGAUAUAAUAAUUAUCUUAGGUU